GCCACCGCAGGGACAGCCUAUACAGCAGUUGCAUCAGGGUAUGGUGUACAAUGCCACACCUUGCAAUGCAUGGGUACCUCAGAAGAAUUGAGGUUGUAGAAGGUCAAGUCUCAAGGUUGAGGAUCCGCAGCUGGAGGACUUAUCCAUUCCUUCUAUUUACUUAAAAGUAGGAUAUUAGUUUUGUUUCAGUUGAUAUUAGUACUUAUUUGGUUGAAAUUCUAAAUAGUAACUUUUGGUUAAGGGGUCCUUGCGUUACGGGAUUCCCGAGUUGUAACCAUUUGGAAGUUAUUAAUGGAUUUACUAUUAAUUGGAUUUCUUCA